AAUAUAAAUAUAAAGUAAUUAACCUGUAGCGAAGUAAAUGUCCACUGAGAUUCUGCAGUACAGUAUCUAGUGGACAUUUACUUCGCUGCAGGUUAAUUACUUUAUAUUUAUAU